rnacentral:sRNA from 1 species
UGAAUUAGAAUCUUGAGAGUUAGGCUUGGGACUCACAAGCUCCCAGAUGAUUUUAAUGCUCAGUGAGGUUGAAGAGCCGCCUGUCCAAGGAGUUGUCACUCCGUGUGAUCUGGGGCUUGCAAGGAAAGUGAGAUCUCAGGCCUCCCUGCAGAGCUGCCGAAUUGGCUUCUGCGUUUUGCCAAGUUUCCCGGGUGUGAACAUGAGUUUCAGAGUCACUCCUCUAGGGGCCCUGCUUCUCAGCUCGGACCAUUGACCCCUCAGAGGACAUUUGGCAACAUCUGGAAACGUUCUUGGUUGUCACAGCCUAGGAGGUGGGUAGUGGUGCUGCUAGUGGGUAGAGGUCAGGGGUACUGCACCAGGACAGCAGCACUGGCCACAGAAAAGAACUAUCUUGCCCUGAGCAUCAGUAGUUCCCCGUUGACUGGCCCUGAGGCAGAGCGAUGCAGCAUCCAAAAGGCGGUGGAGCAGAACUGCCCCAGAUCCUAGUCACUUAACCUUCAGUGUUGAUCUGAAGGAACUUCCUGCAGAUUGUCCCCCUGAAUUUAUUCUGGACAUCCCCAAUGGGGUCUGCUGAGGCCAUAUACCCUGUCCGUCACCUGAGAUGCUUCUCUCUCUCCCUGCAGGGAUGCCAUUAUUACUUGCAAUCCUGAGGAAUUCAUAAUUGAGGCGCUGCAGCUUCCCAACUUCCAGCAGAGUGUGCAGGAGUACAGGAGGAGUGCGCAGGACGGCCCAGCCCCAGCAGAGAAAAGAAGUCAGUACCCAGAAAUCAUCUUCCUUGGAACAGGGUCUGCCAUCCCGAUGAAGAUUCGAAAUGUCAGUGCCACACUUGUCAACAUAAGCCCCGACACGUCUCUGCUACUGGACUGUGGUGAGGGCACGUUUGGGCAGCUGUGCCGUCAUUACGGAGACCAGGUGGACAGGGUCCUGGGCACCCUGGCUGCUGUGUUUGUGUCCCACCUGCACGCAGAUCACCACACGGUGAGUGUUGGGCUGGACCACAAAGCUGGAGCCUGGAGGAGGCACUGCCACGUUGAGUUGGCCCUUUGGCUGCGUCUUUUCCUCCGCUUCCAAACUUGCCCAGAGCUUUUGUUACUCAUCUCUGGCUAGGAAAUGGUCUUUUGCAAAACUCAACAUAGUCCUUCUGCGCCACAAGAAUGUCUUCUCUUUCUGUUUAGUUCCUUUCCUGCAGCAGGACAGGUUUGAGUUUACCCAGCCUUCCUUGAAUCUUGAAUCUCACACGGCCUGCUCAGCGGAAGCUUUGACCAGAUGCAGGAGGUGUGGCUAUGAGACCCUCACCUUGGUCUUCUGGGGUGCCGGGCCCUGGGCCAUUGCCCUCUUCCCAACACGGGUCAUGUUGCUUUCUGCCUGUGACAUUUCAGGGUCAUGGCGCGGGGGGCUCAGCCUGUGCCACCCCCACUGCGGCUGUGUUAGAGGCUGGUGGGUGACAUCGGGCUGGCAACUCCUGCAAGAGAGAGGACUCCAGACCCUAACCUGAAGGAGAUCGCCCUGGGUCCUGGCUAAUGCAUGUCUCCUGUUUCCUUGCCAGGGCUUGCUAAAUAUCUUGCUGCAGAGAGAACGAGCCUUGGCAUCUUUGGGAAAGCCCUUUCACCCUUUGCUGGUGGUUGCCCCCAACCAGCUCAAAGCCUGGCUCCAGCAGUACCACAACCAGUGCCAGGAGGUCCUGCACCACAUCAGUAUGAUUCCUGCCAAAUGCCUUCAGGAAGGGGCUGAGAUCUCCAGUCCUGCAGUGGAAAGAUUGAUCAGUUCACUGUUGCGAACAUGUGAUUUGGAAGAGGUAAGGGGCACAGCUGCAGGCAUCAUGGGGGUGAGGUGGGGAGCAGAGCUGCAGAGCCCUCCAGCCCCACCCUUUCAGUUUCAGACCUGUCUGGUGCGGCACUGCAAGCAUGCGUUUGGCUGUGCGCUGGUGCACACCUCUGGCUGGAAAGUGGUCUAUUCCGGGGACACCAUGCCCUGCGAGGCUCUGGUCCGGAUGGGGAAAGAUGCCACCCUCCUGAUACAUGAAGCCACCCUGGAAGAUGGUUUGGAAGAGGAAGCAGUGGAAAAGACACACAGCACAACGUCCCAAGCCAUCAGCGUGGGGAUGCGGAUGAACGCGGAGUUCAUUAUGCUGAACCACUUCAGCCAGCGCUAUGCCAAGGUCCCCCUCUUCAGCCCCAACUUCAACGAGAAAGUGGGAGUUGCCUUUGACCACAUGAAGGUCUGCUUUGGAGACUUUGCAACAAUGCCCAAGCUGAUUCCCCCACUGAAAGCCCUGUUUGCUGGCGACAUCGAGGAGAUGGAGGAGCGCAGGGAGAAGCGGGAGCUGCGGCAGGUGCGGGCGGCCCUCCUGUCCAGGGAGCUGGCAGGCGGCCUGGAGGAUGGGGAGCCUCAGCAGAAACGGGCCCACACAGAGGAGCCACAGGCCAAGAAGGUCAGAGCCCAGUGAAGAUCUGGGAGACCCUGAAUUCAGAAGGCUGUGUGUCUUCUGCCCCACGCACGCACCCGUAUCUGCCCUCCUUGCUGGUAGAAGCUGAAGAGCACGGUCCCCCAGGAGGCAGCUCAGGAUAGGUGGUAUGGAGCUGUGCCAAGGCUUGGGCUCCCACAUAAGCACUAGUCUAUAGAUGCCUCUUAGGACUGGUGCCUGGCACAGCCGCGGGACAGGAGGCUGCCACACGGAAGCAAGCAGAUGAACUAAUUUCAUUUCAAGGCAGUUUUUAAAGAAGGCAUGGAAACAGACGGCAGCACCUUUCCUCUAAUCCAGCAAAGUGAUUCCCUGCACACCAGAGACAAGCAGAGUAACAGGAUCAGUGGGUCUAAGUGUCCGAGACUUAACGAAAAUAGUAUUUCAGCUGCAAUAAAGAUUGAGUUUGC